CGGAAGCAAUCUCCAUUAGUCCUCUAUAGUCUAUCCUCAAAUCAAUCAGUCUACAAUAAUACUAUAAGGGCUCUUACAUCUCAUAUUUCUUCUUAAUCCUACAAACUACCCUUCUCAUUUUCAUCUCUCUUCGCCUUUCAGAUCUCUCUUCUACUACAGGAGGUUUCAGUAACAGUUUAUGGCUAUAAAAUCCCCGGCUCAAGUGGUUUCGUUGGAUCUAUUCAGGGAGUUGCUCAUUGCUAUUUCGCAGUCUGAACCUGAAAAACUGUCUUGUUCAAGGUCACUGUAUGAGCAUUGUGAAAGCUUAAAUGGUGCUAAUAAGGUGAGGGACGAGGACAUAACUGAAGAGUUAAGGUCAAAAUUGAUCUCGAUUUCUUGUGAAUUGUCUGCAGAUAACAUCAUUCAAUCAUCAGUGGGCAUGCAGGAGGUUUAAUGUUGAUGCCUUUGUGGUUUCCGUAGGAGUCAUUAGGUCUGAACGCUGUAAUUUCUAAUUUGAUGUUGUAACAUUGCCAUUUUAGCAGGGAUGCUUUGUGUAUCAGUUUGUGAUGUAUGGCUCAAAUGUAAACUUUCUUCCGCCCUUUCAUUGAGCUGUCUCUAAUUAUAUGGCAGUUCAAUAGCAUAGAGUGAUUACGCGUAGGGUGUCACCAUUCAAAAUUAAACGUUUUACUAUGUAUUUGGAGAAAAUUCAUGCUUACUGCCAAAGCUUUUGCAAUAAAAAGACCUGAUUUGGAAUCAA